rnacentral:misc_RNA from 1 species
UCUCCGUUGGUGAACCAGCGGAGGGAUCAUUGCAGAGUUGAGAGACUCCCAAACCACCGCGAACAUACCACUACGUUGCCUCGGCGGGCGGCUCCAGGGCGGAGCCUCCGGCCCCCCGCGGGGGGGCGCCCGCCGACAGGCCCCAAACCAUGCCGUAACAACGCUACUCUGAGUACCCAAGACCUAUCAAAACUUUCAACAAUGGAUCUCUUGGCUCUGGCAUCGAUGAAGAACGCAGC